CCGCUCCGAGGGGCCCACCCGCGAGCAGCGGGGAAGGCGGGGACCCGGGCCCCGCGGGCCUGCAGCGCCCCCGCACCCGGUUCCACGCGCCCAGGGCCGCCCCCGCGGAGAGAGGGGGCGCGAGGGGCGCGCCUCUCGCUCGGACACCCUCUCCCAGCUCGCGCCCCAGGUAACUUAAACCCAAUUAUAAAUGGCUUUGGCUAUAAAGUGUUCUUGAAUGAAAACGUUUAGGAAGUAGGCCUGGAUUCAGAUGCUUCAGAGGCUCAAAGGAAACAGGAAUCGUGGCUAACCAAAUCCAGCCCAACUGCUUCCUUGUUCACAUGGGGAAAUCGAGGAAGGCCCGGGGAGAGGAAGGCCUGGGGAGAGGAAGUUACUUGCCCAAGUUGCCCAGUUAAUUAGCCACAGAACCCAUGUCCCCCAACUCUGAAACAAGUUCCAGUUAAAGUCUUCACUGAUAACUUUAAAUCCUCCACUAACCAAGGGAGUCAUCUUUGCAUUUGCACAGAGGAGAUGGGAAAAUCACAAAGCCCUUAAGGUCCAGAAGAAAUGAGUGUCACUACGUUGGGCUCCCAGGCUGUGCAACAAGCUGUGGACGGAGAUGUCCGGGCAGGGAGCCCGGUCCAGCUCCCCACCCAUCGCAUCAUGGAGUCAGCCGUCUCCUCUGGGGACUGCACCCUCUGGGUGCUGAGAAAUCCAAAUGGCUCUUUCUCAUGCAGCCGCCCCAAGUGGGCAGGAUGGCCCUUCUCUUGAUUUGUUUCCUGCUUACUUUGUGAGAGUCAAAGUGCAUCCUUCAGGACCAAAGUGGCCAAGGGGCCAGCAUGUUAUUUAGAGUGAUCAAAAUGGACCAUUUUCAACUUGGCCCUAUUUCAGCUCCAGAGCUGUGGUUUCCACUUGCUUUUACUUAUCUGUAUUUUCUAACAUUUCUUUAGCAAAUUUGUAUUACUUUGGCAAUUAGAAAAAAUGACCAGUAAUUUUUAUAAAAGGAUUUGUGUUUGAUUUCCUUUCAGAAAGGCACUUUCAUUUAUUAAAAGAUCACAAUGAGAAGUGAAAUUAAGUUGAUCUUUCUCUCUGGCAAGGAUGUGUGGGGAGGAAUGGGGAGGUGAAUGCUGGGAGCAGAAGCCACAGCUGCAGAGCACUGCAGUGAGUGAAGGCUAGAUCAGGAGACUGGACCAGGAGGCUGGACCAAUUGGCUCUGUGGUCCUAGGUUUUCUAAUUGUUUAUGGAGAAGAUUGAUCUUCACAAGCUAGUUUUUUCAUAGGCAAAAGCAAAAGUCUCUUCCUGUGUUAUUAAGUGAAAAUGGCUGAUUAUAAAAAGCCUCCCUUGUAGCAAGGUGCAGCCACGUGACCAAAUUCUGGCCAAGGAGAUCUGAGGGGAAGUGUUGUGAUGAUUUCUGGGAAAUCUCUGUAAACGGAACAAGGAAACUCUUCUUUCUUUUUUUCUGCUGCUUGGAACGUAGAUGUAAUGCCUGGAGCUUCGGUAGCCAUUUUGAGUCACAUUCGUGUCACCUUGGAAAGGAACCAUGUACUGGGAUGAUGGAGCAGCAAUAUGAAAUAACCUCAGUCGCUGACACCAUGGAGCUGCUAUAUUAGCCCUGGGGGGCUUACAAACAAUAUUUAACAAAUCUUCAUCAAGUCCCUACUCUGUGGCAGGCCCUGGGUCAGGAGGUUGCCGAUUCCAGGAAGAAUCAGACCUUAUCCCUGCCCUUGAGUCUCAAGAAGAGGAAAGGAAAACAAAUAAGCAUAGUACAGUGUGAAAAGUGGGACUGUGGUCAAAUUUCAGUCUGCAAACUCAGAAUGGAUGAAAUAUGAAAGACUGACAACAUCAAGUUGUCAAGUAGGACAGGAUGUGGAACCACUGGAACUCAUACGUGACUGAUGGGAAUGCAAAAUGAUACCGAUCCCUUGGAAAACUCCUUGGCAACUUUAAUAAACAUAAAUCUACCCUAUGAUCCAGAAAUUCCACUCUGAGUCACGUCUCCAAGAGCAAUGAAAAUAUAUACCCACAAAAGACUGCACAUAAAUCAGAACAGCAUUGUUGAUAAUAGCCCAAACUGGAAACAACCUAAAUAUUCACCAAUAGAAGCCUGAAUAAAUUCAUACUGUGGGAUACUCUACAGCAAUGAGAUCAUGAAAGAUAGUGUGGCUUCCACUUUGGUCUCUUAUAUCACCUACUGGGGGAAGCCAGCUGCCAUGUUGUGAGGACACUCAAGAAGCUCUGUGGAGAGGCUCUUUUGAAGGAGAACCAAUGCCUCCCACCAACAGCCAGCAUCAACUUGGGACAUGUGAGUGAACCAAUUGGAAGUGGAUCCUCCAGCCAAGUCAAGCCUUCAGAUGACUGAAGCCCCAGCCUCAUGAGAGAUAGCAGGCUAAAACUGCCCAGCUAAGCUGCUCCUGAAAUCCUGACCCCCCAAAUUAUAAAAGACAAUAAAUUAUUAUUGUUGUUUUAAGCCACUACAUGUUGGGGUGAUUCAUUAUGCAGCAACAGAUAAUAAAUACAUCACCCUUGUAUUCAUUACUGACGUUUAUUGGGAGCAUAGUGUGUGAUUUUUCAUUUAACCCUUCCAGUAAUGCUGUGAGAUAGGUAAGUUUAUUAUCCCCAUUUUACAGACAAAGAAACUGAGGUUCAGAAUGAGUGAAGUCUCUUCCCUGCAGAGUCCCUGACCUUAAGGAUUUUAUGGUCAGAUCUGAGAGACAGAAGCUCAAAAACCUAUGACUCUAGGCAAAAUAUGGCCCUGGGAUCCCAGGAUGGGGAGAGGAAUUUUGGAUUCUGGCUUCUACUUGGGCCUCAUAGCUUGGGAUGACAGAGGGUACACUCCAAAGGCAACAAACACCUUCCCUGCCCUUGAGCACCUGCUUAAUCAAGGGGAGAAAGUUCAGAUGCUUAUGCAUAAUGUGUGGUAUUUCUCUGCACAGAAACACACACGGGCCUGUACAGUAAUAAUGAAAAGCAACAACCCAUCUUAAGGGCUUGGCACUUUGCACUUACAAAGCCUUAUACAUCCCUAAUUCCAUGGAAUCACACCUGGCAGGUAAGCGUGGCCCUGUACACUUUACAGAUGGGGACACUGAGGUCAGGGAAGUUGUGUGAUUCUUGCAGAGCCAAGCAGCCUAGAAGUGGCAGAGUUCAGGUAAAACCCAGUAACUGGGUGUUUUACAAGUGCUAAGGGUAUGACAGGAGGUAGGCAGGGCUCCUCUGAGGGAGGUUUCAGGAAGAGGUCACCCGCGAGCAGGGUUCUGAGAAUGGGGAAGUGGCUUCGGGGAGAGGAUGGUGCCUGGGAGGGUUUGAGAGGAAACAGAGUGAGUCCCUAGGGGCUCCCAGGGUGUACGAGGGCAAAGAGGUGAACAUAGCUGGAGUGGAAAGAAUGAGAAAGCCUGGGUGUGUGGAAGAGCCUUGGUGUGUUAGGUGGAAUUGCAGCUGGAGGGUGUGUGCAGAAUGAGAGGUCUUGGUAUUGGGGCCAAAGUCAACUGCCACGCCUAAGGAGGGAGGAAGGCGCUUAUUUUGCUUCUUGGGUGAAAAUCAUUCCUGUGAUUUAGUUCUCCUUGGGGGAGGGGCGGGGUUUCAUCCAGCCUUAGCAAAUGCAUUCAAUCUUCACUACUUCUCUCUGUCAGAUGGGGUGGAUAGAGGUCCAAAUGUGGGCAGAAGCUUUUAUGUCCCAUCGCAGGGCAGCUAAGAACAGCUGCGCGGGUCGUUCACUGUACAUGGGCACUAGGCCAAAAGGGACUGAAAUCCGGACGGCCCUUUGUUUACUAAGCCAUGUGCCUGCAAGGCUGCACCUGCCCAGAAGGAAUGCUUCCUAUUUCUUUUCUUUAAAAAAAAAUUUUUUUUAUGAGCUAAAAUUCACAUAACAUAGAAUCUACCAUUUAAACCACUUUAAAGUAUAAAGUUCAGUGCUUUUAGUAUAGUCACAAUGUUGUGCAACCAUCACCACUAGCAGUUUUCGGAACAUUUCCAUCAUCCCAAAAAACAACUCCAUAACUCCUAAUUCCCCCCCUUUCCCCAUCUCUUGGCGACCAUGAAUCUGAACUUUCAUAUGAAUGGAGUUCUAUAAUUUGCUGUCUUCUGUGACUGUCUUCUUUCAUUUGGCAUUAAAACUUUUCAAGUUUUACCCAUGUUGUGGUAUGUGUCUGUACUUCAUUCCUUUUUAUGGCUCGAUAAUAUCGCAUUGUGUGAAUAUUCCACAAUUUGUGUAUCCCUUCAUGAGUUGAUGGACAUAUGGGUUAUAUCCACUGGCUGUUAAGAACAGGCGGGUCACGGUGGCUCACGCCUGAAAUCCCAGCACUUUGGGAGGCUGAGGUGGGCGGAUCACCUGAGGUCAGGAGUUCUAGAUCAGCUUUGCCAACACGGUGAAACCUUGUCUCUACCAAAUAUAUAAAAAUU
rnacentral:lncRNA from 10 species